rnacentral:rRNA from 1 species
UACGUAGGGUGCGAGCGUUAAUCGGAAUUACUGGGCGUAAAGCGUGCGCAGGCGGUUUUGUAAGUCAGAUGUGAAAUCCCCGGGCUUAACCUGGGAACUGCGUUUGAAACUACAAGGCUAGAGUGUAGCAGAGGGGGGUGGAAUUCCACGUGUAGCAGUGAAAUGCGUAGAGAUGUGGAGGAACACCGAUGGCGAAGGCAGCCCCCUGGGCUAAAACUGACACUGUGGCGCGAAAGCGUGGGUAGCAAACAGG